rnacentral:rRNA from 1 species
UCAAGAGUUUGAUCCUGGCUCAGGACGAACGCUGGCGGCGUGCCUAACACAUGCAAGUCGAACGGAGAUAUGAUUUCGGUUAUAUCUUAGUGGCGAACGGGUGAGUAACGCGUGAGCAACCUGACUCUUAGAGGGGGAUAACACUCGGAAACGGGUGCUAAUACCGCAUAAGACCACGACAUGGCAUCAUGACGAGGUCAAAGGAGCAAUCCGCUGAGAGAGGGGCUCGCGUCCCAUUAGAUAGAUGGCGGGGUAACGGCCCACCAUGUCAACGAUGGGUAGCCGAGCUGAGAGGC